rnacentral:rRNA from 1 species
CCUACGGGAGGCAGCAGUGAGGAAUAUUGGACAAUGGGCGCAAGCCUGAUCCAGCCAUGCCGCGUGCAGGAUGACGGUCCUAUGGAUUGUAAACUGCUUUUAUACAGGAAGAAACACCUCUACGUGUAGAGACUUGACGGUACUGUAAGAAUAAGGAUCGGCUAACUCCGUGCCAGCAGCCGCGGUAAUACGGAGGAUCCAAGCGUUAUCCGGAAUCAUUGGGUUUAAAGGGUCCGUAGGCGGUUUAGUAAGUCAGUGGUGAAAGCCCAUCGCUCAACGGUGGAACGGCCAUUGAUACUGCUAGACUUGAAUUAUUAGGAAGUAACUAGAAUAUGUAGUGUAGCGGUGAAAUGCUUAGAGAUUACAUGGAAUACCAAUUGCGAAGGCAGGUUACUACUAAUUGAUUGACGCUGAUGGACGAAAGCGUGGGUAGCGAACAGGAUUAGAUACCCUGGUAGUCCACGCCGUAAACGAUGGAUACUAGCUGUUGGGAGCAAUCUCAGUGGCUAAGCGAAAGUGAUAAGUAUCCCACCUGGGGAGUACGUUCGCAGAAUGAAACUUAGAAGUAGUGACGUGNGAGAGUCGACGAGGCACGAGGAGGGUUAGAGG